GAUGAACGCUGGCGGCGUGCCUAAUACAUGCAAGUCGAGCGAACAGAUGAGGAGCUUGCUCCUCUGACGUUAGCGGCGGACGGGUGAGUAACACGUGGAUAACCUACCUAUAAGACUGGGAUAACUUCGGGAAACCGGAGCUAAUACCGGAUAAUAUAUUGAACCGCAUGGUUCAAUAGUGAAAGACGGUUUUGCUGUCACUUAUAGAUGGAUCCGCGCCGCAUUAGCUAGUUGGUAGGGUAACGGCUUACCAAGGCAACGAUGCGUAGCCGACCUGAGAGGGUGAUCGGCCACACUGGAACUGAGACACGGUCCAGACUCCUACGGGAGGCAGCAGUAGGGAAUCUUCCGCAAUGGGCGAAAGCCUGACGGAGCAACGCCGCGUGAGUGAUGAAGGUCUUCGGAUCGUAAAACUCUGCUAUUAGGGAAGAACAAAUGUGUAAGUAACUAUGCACGUCUUGACGGUACCUAAUCAGAAAGCCACGGCUAACUACGUG
rnacentral:rRNA from 1 species